GGCGGGAGGACCGGAAGUGGCCUUUAGUGGUUCUUCAGACGCUGAAUAGAGGUGAGGAGUGAGGCCCCAUGAGGGUGGCUUGUCUCGUUGCUGUGGAAACAACCAGUCUCGGCAUCCCCCUACCCCCCAAGACCCGGGGCUGCGCUGCACAAGUUGCCGCCCUGGUCCUGGUCCCCAAGCGAACACCCGCUCUCCUGACCGAGACGCUCAGAUUGCGGGUCCAGGACCCGCUGCACUUUGGGCAGACGCGUCAUAAUGCUCUUUUACUGCAUGGAACUGGUUCGUUUGCGCCUUUGUGUUUCUGAUAGAUUCAGCUCCCUGAGGGCGGGGACCAAACCUUUUUUGCCUUUGCAUUCCCAACGCCUCACACACCUAAUGUAAGACAGGAAUCGGAUGAGGAGACCGAAUACUCCCCAGUAAGGAGAUUCAAAGGGGGAGCUUACGUGGGAGCGAAGAUGAUGUCCUUCUAUUUGGACAGACUACAGAGGCUGGGAAGCAUAACAAUACCAAGAGCUACUAUUGACUUAAAGUUCACUAGGUGUUGAGCACUGUGUGUGAAUGAUCUCAUCUAUUGCAAUUUAUGAGGCAUCAAGCCAUUACAAAAUAAGAUUUUAUUUAUUUAAGAGAGAGAGAGAAUGAGAAACAGAGAGCACGAGAGGGAAGAGGGUCAGAGGGAGAAGCAGACCCCCCGCUGAGCAGGGAGCCCGAUGCGGGACUCGAUCCCGGGACUCCAGGAUCAUGACCAGAGCGAAGGCAGUCGCUUAACCAACCGAGCCACCCAGGUGCCCCUCUUGCCUACUUUCGUAAAAAUCCUUUUUAAAAUACACUUGUAGGAAUUCCUUAUAUAUUCUGAACACUAAUCUUUUUCAGUUAUUUGUUCUAUAAAUAUCUUCUCUCAGUUCAUGGCUUGUCAUUUUAUUCACUUUGAGAUGUCAAAGACAUCUUGUCUUUGUAUAGUUAAUGCUUUUCAUGUUUUAUUUAAAAGAUCCUUCCCUAAUAUAAAGGCUUAAAGAUAAUCUAUCUUUUUCUUCUAAAUAAUUAAAAAAUUUAAAUUUACAAGUAAUUUUGAGUUACUUUCUGUGUAGGAUGAAAGGUGAGAAUCCAAUUUUCUUUUCUUUUUCCAUUCUCUUUCUGUUGAUUUUCUUUUUUCUUUUUUUAAAGAUUUUAUUUAUUUGAGAGAGAGAGUGAGUGAGAGAGAGCACAAACUGGGGGAGGGGCAGAGGGAGAGGGAGGAGCAGACUCCCCGCUGAGCAGGAAGCCCCAUGUGGGACUCCAACCCAGGAUCCUGGGAUCAUGACCUGAGCUGAAGGCAGAUGCUUAACUGACUGAGGCACCCUCCAUUGAUUUUUAAUUCUACCACUGUAAUAUGUCACGUGUCUAUAAUGUGUGAGUCUGUUUGGGGACUAUUUUGUUCCAUCACUAAAUUUGCCUAUCCCUUACCCAAUAUCACAUUAUCUGUUUUACUCUUGUCUUAUUUUAUAAAAAGUCUUGUUAUCUGGUAAGAAAAAUUCCCUUGCCAUAUUUCUUUCUUUAAGAGGGUCUUAACUAGUUUGGAGCCUUUGCUCUUUCAUAUAUAUUUUAGAAAUAAUUUGUCUAUUCCUAAAAACAAAACAAACAAACAAAACAAAACAAAAACAAAAAAACCCUACAGAUUUUCCUUGGAAUUACUUUAAAUCUCUAAAUUAAUUUGAGGAGAAUUGACAUCUUUAGGAUACUGAGUCUUCCUAUCGAUGGCCUUGGUAUGUAUCUCCAUUUAUUUAGGUCUUCUUUAAGGUUGUUUGGUAAAAUUUUAUAAUUUUCUCCCUAUAGGUCUUACACAUCUUGUGUAAGAUUUAUUCCUAGGCACCUUGUAUAUUUAUGCUGUUAUAGAUGAUUAUCAUUCUUUUUCAUCAUUGCCAAAUUGAUAGAGAAAAUACAAAAACUCCUUUUAA